rnacentral:lncRNA from 1 species
GUCUAUAUAUACCGGUGUAAUAGUUUACAAACUUUCAAAGCAUCAACGUUGUAUUCGUUUGAGCAUCAGAAGUUGGAAGAAAAAAAAACAGCCGUGUAGCUUGAUAACUAAAUACCUCAGAAACAGAAAGAUGCCCGCACUAUGGCUUUCAAAUUUCCUGAUAGCGGCAAUACUUUGUUGUAUGAUCUUGCCGAGCGCCGCACAGUUCUUUUACUCGUUUCCUUACAUGUAUAGUCCGUAUUAUAGCCCGUAUUAUAGCUCGUUUUAUAAUCCGUAUUAUAGUUAUUACUCAUCGUUCUACGGAUAUCCCUACAUGUUUGGUCGGGAUUAGAAUUCGGGUGUAUGCCAUUCAGAAAUUACACCAACAAGUCGAGAAAUCAUCUAAAUCUCCGUCUUUGUAUAUUUUCAUAAAAUGUUUCCUACAAAAAUUUAUACAUGAGCUUUUAUCGCAGGAUACAUUAUUAAUUUAUGUAA